ACACAACACUAGGGGUGCCGCCAAGAAGCGGUUGAGAUGGAUCUGUUCGAUCUGGUCCCUUGGAACCUGUAAGACAAUGCUUGCGUAGGGAAAGUGAUGGAUGAUGUAU
rnacentral:ncRNA from 2 species